CUGUGUGUGUGUGUGUGUGUGUGGUGGGGGGGGGGCAAUGGGACCUAAAAGCAAGAGGACGGACGUUCCCCUUUUUACGACAACUCAACCUAUAUUGGUUUUUGUAUUGAAGUUGCCAAUAUUUUGUGCUAGUGUCUUAAAUGUGACCCUUUAAAAAUAAUCAUGCUUCAACAUAUAGGGAUUCUGUUCCCCCCGCAAUAUUUUUUUAUUUUGUUUUCAAAAUGAAUAACACAAAACUGAGUCGCCAGUUUAUUAAGAACACCCAUAAUGCCGUCCCAUACAGCAGACCUGCUAAUAAUCAUAAAUGGAAAACAGCAGGAACAAAACCUCGUGAAGGGGGGCUUUACUGCAGGACCGUUGUAUUGGACUGCAUUAGUUUGAUUUACGUCUAAUAAACUGGUAACUCAGCGUAAAUACCAAAGCAACACUUCUCCUUUAAAGAGAAGCAUAGCAACACUUAAAUGCCCAUGUGUUGCCCUCCAGUGAUUUAACGUCUCACCUUGAUGCAGUGACUUACAGGUGUUCUCCGGGACCUCGUGGCAUCACUGUUGGGUGUUGUUACAGUGACUGUUUCUUGGAGUUGAAGACACAUUGACGAAGGAUUGUGCAAAAGAUCUCCAGCCUGAGAAGUGGGACACAUGAGCGUUAAGUAAAUCCCACCCAUCGUCCUCACUAUAUUAUUAUAAAUAUUAUUAUAACGUUUUAUUUAUUACCUUAAGUUCCUUGUUUUGCCCUGACCUGGAUGUGUAUGUGAUUGGGUUCAGAACCGUCUCACCACAUUUCCAGAGCAAAGAAAUGACAUUACAGUAAAUAUUGAAUAUUGUAAGUAAGUAGAGUCUGAAUACAAAUCUGUAUAUUUUAGGAAUAAGUUGUAUUUCAGGAUGCAGAUCAACUGUUUAACCUGUUCCUUUUUGGAUUAACAGAGUCUAUUUUAAUUAUGCAACCUCCUGAGGAGCUUGUUUUUAAAGAUGUGAGAAGUGUUCGGGUGGUAUCCAUUUGGUCGGUCUUCACAUUUUACUCAAAGCUGAUUGAAGGUCGCUGAAGUUUUUGCACAGUAAUAUAAAAUUUGCAGAUGAAAUACAAAAAAAAAAGUCUAAUAUCUAUUAUUGUCACUGUCACCGAGAAUCAAUAAUUAUUCUUUACUGUCACACUUCAUUCCACCUUUCAGUUAAAUGUUUUUUUCCUACUGUACUUGAUAAUGAAGUCGAAGCACUUUGUGAUUGUAACCAGUAAAUAUGAUUUUGUUUUACCUCAAGGGAAAAUAUUUGAUAAACAACGAUAGAAAGCGACAGCGCAGUACAUCUAUAACACGCUUAUUUUAUUGCGGGAGAGAUGCAACGCUGCUAAUCUUUGUGUACACUGUUAUGUUUGCGCUCUUUUUAUAUUGUUAUUCAUCUGUUCCUGUUCGCUUCUAGGAAGCUACAGUUCUAUCGUAUUAUUUGGGUUCAGUUUGAUUGCUGUGAAACAGACAAAUGUUAUUUUUUAUUAUUUAUGGUCAAAGUAAAAAAAACAAAAAAACUGUUAAAUGCUUUUACAGUGUGCCCCUUUUAUUUUAUAUAAGCAUCUGGAACUCUUUUCACAGAUUUGUACCGUGACAUAAGCAGGGGAAGUGAAAGGUAAUCUAUUAAAUUGCCUCAAAAUGUCACUGAAGAGCAACAGCUGGAAGGUGUCAGCAGGAAGCUGUGGUGGAAGAAGUAGAACCAGUAACACCACAGUGUAGAACAACUCUGAUCCCAGAUCAAAAAAGCAAUUUUGAUAGAAGACGAGAUAGAAAACAAAAGUUUACAGCUCCCAUUAUUGUAAAUAUUCACAUUUGAUUAGAACGCCGAUUGUUCUAAACAUUGAACCUUUCGCUCAGAACUAAAUAUUUAAAAUUGGAUUAUUGUAUGAGAACAGAGUGUCUACUAUAUUAUAUAUAUAUAUAAGUAUAUAUAUAUAUAAGUAUAUGAUAUGAUAUGAUUUAUUCCUUUAUUCGUCUCACAGUGGGGAAAUGAAAAAAAUUACAUUCCAAGAGUUACAUCCAGAGUCAGAGGUCAUCACUGUAUCUAGAAAGUUAGUUGUUAUUUACCAGAACAUGCUGGUUCUGCUUAUUGAUAUAUUUUGCAACAUAUAUCGGUGGUUUCCACACAAUAAAUCAUAAUCACUUAAUUGAU